rnacentral:rRNA from 1 species
ACUACCGCCCGUCCAAGCCAUGGAAGCCGGGUGUACCUAAAGUCGGUAACCGUAAGGAGCCGCCUAGGUAAACUGGUGACUGGGGCUAAGUCGUAACAAGGUACCC